GGGGGGGUCCCGCGGCGGCCCCGCCCCCGGGACGCGCAACGCCUCCACCCACUGUGGUUCGGGGAGCCGGGCGCCUUCGGCAGGACGUACCGGGGACAGUGGGCCCCCACAGCCCUCUUGAACUCUACGUGCAGUUAGGCGGUGGAGGGAACAAAAGAUACUUCUUGUCUGAAAAAUGCUGUGAGAGCAUUAAGGUUGGACAUAAGGAUCAGCCUUCCGGCUUGGAGGACUGGGUGCAAGGUGGGUGUGACAAAGAAAAGGAGCUCAAAACUGCCUCCUGUUCCAGCCUAACCGGACCACUGCAUUUGAUGAAAUGAGUUUGCAACUUAAAAUACCACAUGUAGAAACAAGCCACUAUUCAUAAGUCAGCAGAAAAAAUGAAAUAAGGACUCAGACCCAUCACACCGGCAAAGUAGAAUUUGAAGAUUCAAAAUACCAAAAAAUUGCCUCACAAAAUGUAUGGUGACACAAAACUUCCACAUGGAGGGCCUGAGGGUUUGUGACGUCUGGACUGAUAAAAGUGAUGAUGUGGAAACACUAAUACCAAAGCAUGUGCAAGGUCAACUUGAGAAGUUGGUCCCAGCUCUGCCGCCUCUUCAAAAGUUAUCCUGUCCUGUCAGAUACAAAAGGCGCGAGGAAGCCCCACUCCCCUGGGGCUGCCAUGGUAGCAGGAGUGCUGGAGAUGAAGAGAUCACAGAGAGGGCAAAGUGAAGCUUUCUGGACUUCACCUGCCCUUAUAACCAGGGCCUUCUUCCUCCACUGCCAACCCCAGAGUGAUGAAGUCUGCAAGUUUCCCCAGGCCUCAUAGGUACAAAUGAGGCUGUAUUCAUGACCUUACUUCUCAGUUUCUUCCCCACAUCCACCCCUGCAAAGUGCCUGUGUCCAUGAGAAUUUCUGGGAGUUCCCCGGGUGGCUAAGGUUUGCUCAUGAACAAAGAUAGUCAUCUCUUUCUGAGGUCUCCUGGACACUGCUGCUUCCAUGGGAUAAUACCAUUUGAGAUAUAUUCUGCUUGCCUGUCCAGAUUCUCUCCCCACCCUCCUCAGCCACGCUCGGUGUCCUGCAGCACUGAUCUUUAUGAAUUGUAUCAUCUGGCCUAUUUUGUCCUGACUUCUGGUUGGGUUCAGCCAGUGGAAGGCACUGGAGGCAGGGGUGGGAGGAGAGGGAGGUCAGUAUUUAUUCCCUGCUCCCUCCCUGUCCUGAGUUGGCUGAUUCCCCUAAGAAAGGCUACAGCUCUUACCGGGUGACCCAUAUUGUGACCACUCCCACAAGAGUCCCCUGAGGGGGAGGAGGAUGGGCUUCCUGCAGCUGCUAGCCCUGUGAUGCUUCACCACCCCUCGUGGCCUUCCCCUGGCACUGCCCACAGCGUCGUUCUUCGAACUCUCCUCAGAUGGCCACGUUGAGAUGCCCCUUGAGACACUGACCACACAGACAUCACUGCUGUUUCCACUGGAUGCACAUCCUCAGGCCACCCUGCCUCCCCCUGGACAUCACCAAUAAUUCUACUGUGUCCUAUUGAAGCGCAGCUGCCAUAACGCCAGUGCUAUGCGGGCGGGGACAUCUCUCCCUGCUCGGUUUCACUCUGCGAGAGGGGCUCAGAGAUGUAUCCGCUUGUGCCCACAGUGUCUUCUGGAAUUUUGAGUGAAAUAGUGCCUCUGUUUUACCAUGCAUGAGGCUGAAGGAGGAGUCCCAAGUGUAUGAGGUGUUGAGCUGGAAAGAGCCAAGGAGCCACGCUCUCGCUUUAGGGCUGGGGGCUGGAGCUGGGAGUUGGCUCUGCCACUAAAAGGCUGUGUGACCUUGGACAAGUCGCUUUGCUUUCAGGGCUACUUCCCCUCCUGCGUCACCGGGGUUGGGCUUGGUGAUUCUCGAACUGCUCUGGGGCCCCAGCUUCACUUUGGCCAGAACAGUUCCUAUUUGAUCUAUUUUUAGAAAUUGGGCUUUUGUGAAGACUUCUUUUAAAGUAUGAUUCCACCACUUUAAAAGUGUUUGCAAACAGCUGGGCUAGGUGAUUCUAAGAUCCCUUCCAGUCUCAACAUUUUUGAACAUAAAUCACCCUUGUCUUCCUCAGCGUUGUGCCAGGGAGGGUCUCGUUCCAAGAAUUAAUGGAAAACUAAUGAUGAAAGACCCAUCUUCUGGAGUGCCUGGGUGGCUCAGUUGGUUAAGUGUCUGACUCUUGACUUAGCUCAGGUCAUGCUCUUACAGUUUGUGGGUUCCAGCCCUGUGUCAGGCUUCAUGCUGACAGAGCAGAGCCUGCUUGGGAUUCUCUCUUUCUCCUCCUCCCCCCGUCCCCUCCAGAAUAGAUAAACUUAAAAGGAAGAAAGAAAGAAAGUCCCAUCUCCUGCCAGGUCUCUGCCACAGCAAAUCUACCACGACUGGGUGGAUGGUUUUGCUCCCCCCGCCCAUCCUCACUUCUCAUUUACUUCUGCCCCGAUUCCCAGGCGAGGAUAACAAAGGCACAUUUUAAAUCAGUUGCAUCAAAUGCAAACCAGCCCAGCGAACAAAAAUGUGAAAAACAUGGGAAUUUUUAACAAACUGAAUUUGGGAGCUUUUGCAAAGGCUUGGCCGGUGGCCGUGGAAACUGGCAGCCCCUCAGUAGUUUGUCCCAGACAUUUGGUGCUGGAGAGGAUUGUGGAGCAGCGAUUGAUAGUUUGGGCUCUGGGGUCAAAAGGAUAUGAUCAAAUCCCAGUGCCGCCAUUAACUAACUGAUCGAUCUUGGCCAAGUUACUUAACCAUGCUGAACCUUUUUUCAUAAUCUGUAAAAUCAGAAUAAUAAUAAUGCCUCCUUUAUAGAGUUGUUGGGAGGAUUAAGUGUGAGAUACUACAUGUGGGAUGUUUAGCACAGUUCCUGGUACAUGGAAACUAUCCAGUAAAUCAGCUCUUUAUGGUUAUUGUUAUUAGAACUAUUCCUCUUGGCUUUCAGGAAGCUCAGAGAUCAGAGCUCAGUUAAGAGCUUAGCUGAGAAACCCUCCCAAGUAAUACACCCUCCCCCUCUGCUCCGUUUCAUAGCUUCUUAACAUAGUUAUCACUUAUAGAAUUCUUAGUAUGUGCCAGGACUUAGAGACACUACCCAACACCUACCACAGUGCUGGGAAUAUUACAGAUCACUCAAUAUAUGAUGGCAGAAUAAUCGAAUGAUCUUAUUCAAUGCUCCGAGCAACCCUGAGAAACAGGUAUCAUUGUCUCAAUUAUAGUAGACAUAUUUUUGUCAUAAUUGUAUAGCAUCUGAGCCUGCUUCCUGAUCUUGAGGAGUCUGCUUUUGCAAGAGGGUCCCACUCUGGAUGCUGAGAAGGUGAAAAGCUCCCCUUGACCUCUGGCAGCAGGAGCAGGGACAUGUGAACUGAAGACAGCCCAUCGGAUCCUCACCUGAGACUUUUCUAUCCAGACUGAACAAUGUAGUUGGAAUUCCUUCUGGUGGGGCUGACAGGGCAUCCAGUGCCUGUGGCCCUGGUGGCACUGGGGCCAGCAGUGACCACGGUGCCAGCAGAGGGCCCAGUACCCAGCGGCCUACAAUCCAUUUUAAAAGGGGGAAAAGUAUUGUACAUGACAUUAUGUGAUGUUAGUUUUGCAAGGAAGUUUCUACAUCUUGCCAGCCUUUCCAGAAUUCUCUUUCCUUCUGGAGUCUGUGAGUUUCCUUAACACUCAAUCUACUUCAGGCACCCCCAAGGGACUCCUCUCUCAGGAUGCCUGCCCUCCAUCUCCUCAGCAGAUGUUUAGGCAGCUCUUGUUGCCUCCAAGAAGAUGAAGCCACACCUCUUCAGAUUUUCUACCCCCCACCCCCGCAUCCCCUGUCUGCCCAUUUUAUGCCCAAACUAUGCCAAUUCAGGGCCAUUGGUACUCUUUUCCUCUUCCAAAUGAAAACCCCAGAAUGGGUCUUUCUGUCACAUACAGAUAUGCUGGGGGUGAGGGCUGAUUCAUACAUUUUUCUUAAGGAAAAAAGGCCUUUGGGCCAGCUGGCAAAGGUUGGUUUUCAUUGAUUUCUUUUUCAUUCCCUUCUUGGACUCCUCCUUUUCUCCGGGCCUGUGGUAGAUCCCAUGGGGAAUACUGGGGGACAAAUACAUGUACAUAAAUGUAAAAAAAGAGUACUGGACCUGGAGUAGGAGAGCUGGGAUGGAACCCUGGCAUGGUCACUCACUGUCUGCCAGAAGUUGGGUGGGUUCCCUAACCUCUCCAAGCUUCAGUCUCAUGGUCUGUAAAAUGACCUCAUCAGUGCAGAUAUUCUGUGGGUUGCUGGAAGAUUAAGAAUGCAUUUAAGAACUCAUCAAAAUCGCUGGUUCAUGGGAGACAUCCCAUAGAUGUGUGUGCCUGUCAGUUGAAAGUCCCCCCGAUGAUGGAGCCCAAAAGGAAGAUGCCCACACCUCCAGCCACUUAAAGUCAGUGGGGGGAGGGCAGGAGCAUUUGAGAGUUAGGGCACCUAGAAACGUGGUAAAACCUACUUGCAAUUGUGUUAAAUCCCUGAACCACCAGCAUCGUCGGCAGAUGAGGGAGGGUGAGUGGAGGGAGAAGGGUGCCAGAAGAGAAGGUGCUAGAAAGAAGAGCUGAAAACAAGCAUGACCCUUAACUGAGUGUUGUCUAAAUAGUCCUCGAGCCCAGUUUCCCCGUGGCCCUAAGGUGGGGCGGCAAACACACUGGAAGGACCAUGUGGACCCAGUGGGUGCUGGUGUUGGGACCUGGGUCCCAGUCUUGUCUCGAACAUUUAUGUGGUGAAUGAACUGGGAGGGCCACCGAAGCUCUCUGAGCCUUAUCUUCAUGCCUGCGAUGUAGGGGGAAAUACUAGUACUUGCCUCACUAUUGUAGAAACAAUGAACAGGCGAAUGAUUUUCUAAACAAUUUAUUAAGAUAUACUUCACGUACCACAGAAUUCACAUCAACCUGGCUCCAUAUUUUCUUUGGACCAGUAGUACUAGGGCAUGUUCUUUUGACAUCAAAUGGCUGGAGCUUAGGAAGUUGAACAGAGACACCACAUGAUGCCUCUUGAGCCUCUUAAGUCACUCCUGCCACACUCCACUGACCAAAGCAAGUCAUGUGGCCAUGUCAACAUCAGUGGUGAGACGUAUGAUGCUCAGGCUAAUGGGCAAGGCUACAAAGUCACAUGGCAAAGGGUGCGAGUGUAGAAUUCUAUGGGAAGAAUCUGAAGACUGGUGAACAGUGACACAUCCUAGGACAGGGGACGACAAAUGUGCCUAGGAAUGCAGUAUGGGUGGUUUUGGUCUCCCAGGAGCCUACCAAUGCUGCUUUGCUUGUAAGUGGCCAGCUUCUGCUCUAACUUCCUGCUUCUGAGGGUCCCAUGUUCCAGGUGGGGGACUGUGCUAGUCCAGCCUGUCACAUAAGCUUUCUAGGCCACAAUUCCUAGUUCCUGGCUUCCCAGCUAUCCUGCCACUGUUUCCUCUGAGGUCCUGCCAAGAGAAGCAAGCCUUCCAAGGGGUUCAGAUCUCCUUCAUGUGCAACAGGCUGGGGUCAGACCCCUUUGCUCCUGUACCCAGGGGCCCAGCCAAGUUCAGACCCCUUUCCCCUGUUCAGUCUCCCAAGCACAGCUUUCUCACACUGCUUUCCUGUCCAAUAUGGCCUGAUGAUACUAUCUAGCAGACAGCAAAGACCCAUAUAACCAGGCCCUCAAUUCACAGAAAGGCCUGUUUAUCUUUCCUGGGGUAAGACAGAGUCUCCAACAGUGAAUGUUCAGAACUCAGAUUAGCUUUUCAAAGGUGACCUUUCCAUAGUUUACAUUCUCAAUAAAUUACUCUGCUAAAUUAUAAUGGAUGGAGCUUAAAGCAAAUUUCUGAAAGGUUUGGUCAACAUUCUGGUGUAAAUAACCUUCUGGGUAUUUCAGUAUUGCCAGUCUGCUUAGUCUGCUUCCAUUAGUAAUGUGAAUAAGCAUUUCCUUGGGUACAGCCCAAAGUUAGCAGCAAUUAUGAAAACUAUGCAGAAGCUGGUUAAUUCAGGAGCUGGUUAGCAUGGCUUUCUUCAAUGAGACCUGCCGCCUCUCCGUCACCACCUUCUCCCUAUGGAGGUUGUUUUACUGUAGUCUUUGCAGGCUGAUUUCUAAACAUCCUUUCAAGAAGGUGACAUAGAAAACAAGCCACAAGUUCCUCAUAAAGUUAAACAUACACCUAUCUUAUAACCCAGGAAUUCCAGUCCUGGGUAUUUUUACUCCGGACAAAUGAAACUUCUACCUGCCUUACACAAAGACUUGUACAUCAAUAUUCAUAGCAGCUUUAUU